CGGCGGACGGGUGAGUAACGCGUGGGUAACCUGCCUCAUACAGGGGGAUAACAGUUGGAAACGGCUGCUAAUACCGCAUAAGCGCACAGUACCGCAUGGUACGGUGUGAAAAACUCCGGUGGUAUGAGAUGGACCCGCGUCUGAUUAGGUAGUUGGUGGGGUAACGGCCUACCAAGGCGACGAUCAGUAGCCGGCCUGAGAGGGUGAACGGCCACAUUGGGACUGAGACACGGCCCAA
rnacentral:rRNA from 1 species